UGAAAAUGUUUCAACAUUUACCGCUGCAAAAAACAACAGAGGAGACAAAAUACUGAAUCUGCCUAUCCUUGUUUUCAACGAUACAACAACAAGCAAACUCAAACUAGAUUAAAAGCGCACAUAACAGAACAAGCAUACUUUGAAGUGAAACAAUCAAGGCGAAGAAAAGAGACUUUACCUCCUUUGGGGCAGCGAAUAGAACUAGACAAGCUAAACGGAAAACGACUUCCACACGACCAUACACACGAGAAAAGAACAGCAAGCUCGAGGAAAAUAUCGAUCCCAACUGAGCUCGGAAGGAAUGUUGGAAGUGAAAUAGAACAGCGGAAGUG
rnacentral:misc_RNA from 1 species